AAACUUAAAUGAAUUGACGGGGACCCGCACAAGCGGUGGAUGAUGUGGUUUAAUUCGAUGCAACGCGAAAAACCUUACCCACCUUUGACAUGGCAGGAAUCCUGAAGAGAUUCGGGAGUGCUCGAAAGAGAACCUGCACACAGGUGCUGCAUGGCUGUCGUCAGCUCGUGUCGUGAGAUGUUGGGUUAAGUCCCGCAACGAGCGCAACCCUUGCCAUUAGUUGCUACGAAAGGGCACUCUAAUGGGACUGCCGGUGACAAACCGGAGGAAGGUGGGGAUGACGUCAAGUCCUCAUGGCCCUUAUAGGUGGGGCUACACACGUCAUACAAUGGCCGGUACAGAGGGUAGCCAACCCGCGAGGGGGAGCCAAUCCCGCAAAGCCGGUCGUAGUCCGGAUCGCAGUCUGCAACUCGACUGCGUGAAGUCGGAAUCGCUAGUAAUCGCGGAUCAGAAUGUCGCGGUGAAUACGUUCCCGGGUCUUGUACACACCGCCCGUCACACCAUGGGAGCGGGUUCUGCCAGAAGUAGUUAGCCUAACCGCAAGGAGGGCGAUUACCACGGCAGGGUUCGUGACUGGGGUGAAGUCGUAACAAGGUAGCCGUAUCGGAAGGUGCGGCUGGAUCACCUCCUUUAUG
rnacentral:rRNA from 1 species